AGUGAACGCUGGCGGUAGGCCUAACACAUGCAAGUCGAACGGCAGCACAGUAAGAUCUUGCUCUUACGGGUGGCGAGUGGCGGACGGGUGAGGAAUACAUCGGAAUCUACUUUUUCGUGGGGGAUAACGUAGGGAAACUUACGCUAAUACCGCAUACGACCUACGGGUGAAAGCAGUGGAUCUUCGGACCUUUCGCGAUUGAAUGAGCCGAUGUCGGAUUAGCUAGUUGGCGGGGUAAAGGCCCACCAAGGCGACGAUCCGUAGCUGGUCUGAGAGGAUGAUCAGCCACACUGGAACUGAGACACGGUCCAGACUCCUACGGGAGGCAGCAGUGGGGAAUAUUGGACAAUGGGCGCAAGCCUGAUCCAGCCAUACCGCGUGGGUGAAGAAGGCCUUCGGGUUGUAAAGCUCUUUUGUUGGGAAAGAAAAGCAGCAGGUUAAUACACCCCUGUUCUGACGGUACCCAAAGAAUAAGCACCGGCUAACUUCGUG
rnacentral:rRNA from 1 species